ACGAGGAUCUAUUGGAGGGCAAGUCUGGUGCCAGCAGCCGCGGUAAUUCCAGCUCCAAUAGCGUAUAUUAAAGUUGUUGCGGUUAAAAAGCUCGUAGUUGGAUCUCGGUUUCACUCAGGUGGUACACCUUGCGGUGUUCACUAUCUGGGUGGACGUUUCUGUUGGUUCGCUCUUGGUGCUCUUCAUCGGGUGCCAUUUGGUGGCCAGCACGUUUACUUUGAAAAAAAUUGGAGUGCUCAAAGCAGGCGUUACAGCCUGAACAUUAGUGCAUGGAAUAAUGGAAUAGGAUCUCGAUUCUAUUUCGUUGGCUUUCGGAGUCGAGGUAAUGAUUAAUAGGGACAGACGGGGGCAUUCGUACUGCGACGUUAGAGGUGAAAUUCUUGGAUCGUCGCAAGACGAACUACUGCGAAAGCAUUUGCCAAGAAUGUUUUCAUUAAUCAAGAACGAAAGUUAGAGGUUCGAAGGCGAUCAGAUACCGCCCUAGUUCUAACCAUAAACGAUGCCAACCGGCGAUCCGUCGUCGUUAAUUGAAUGACUCGACGGGCAGCCUCCGGGAAACCAGAGUGUUUGGGUUCCGGGGGAAGUAUGGUUGCAAAGCUGAAACUUAAAGGAAUUGACGGAAGGGCACCACCAGGAGUGGAGCCUGCGGCUUAAUUUGACACAACACGGGAAAUCUCACCAGGCCCGGACACCGGAAGGAUUGACAGAUUGAGAGCUCUUUCUUGAUUCGGUGGGUGGUGGUGCAUGGCCGUUCUUAGUUGGUGGAGCGAUUUGUCUGGUUAAUUCCGAUAACGAACGAGACUCUGGCCUACUAACUAGAAGGUCUAUCCUUUAUGGGUAGGCCUCUGCUUCUUAGAGGGACGGGCGGCGUUUAGCCGCACGAGAAUGAGCAAUAACAGGUCUGUGAUGCCCUUAGAUGUUCUGGGCUGCACGCGCGCUACACUGAAGGAAUCAGCAUGUUCUCCCCUCCCUGAAAAGGGCGGGUAACCCGUUGAAACUCCUUCGUGAUGGGGAUUGGAGAUUGUAAUUAUUCUCCAUGAACGAGGAAUUCCCAGUAGGCGCGAGUCAUCAGCUUGCGUCGGUUACGUCCCUGCCCUUUGUACACACCGCCCGUCGCUACUACCGAUCGAGUGAUUUAUUGAGGACUUCGGACUGGUCUUCAAGUUGGCUUCGGUCGGCUCGAAGUUCCGGAAAGAUGCCCAAACUUGAUCACUUAGAGGAAGUAAAAGUCGUAACAAGGUUUCCGUAGGAUCCUGCGGAAG
rnacentral:rRNA from 1 species